rnacentral:snRNA from 1 species
AUAAUUACCUGGACAGGGUCAAUGGACGAUCAUGAAGGCCCAUGGCCUAGGUUGGUGACCUUCAUUGCACUUUCGAGGGGUGCCUACCUAAGGUCGAUCCAAGUGGUUGAGCCUACGUCAUAAUUUGUGGCAGCGGGGGCCUUCGUUCGCGUGACCCCUAC